CGGGGUAUAGCUCAGUCUGGUAGAGCGCGUGCUUUGGGAGCAUGAGGUCGCAGGUUCGAAUCCUGUUGCCCCGACCA
rnacentral:tRNA from 1 species